rnacentral:rRNA from 1 species
UACGGGGGGGGCGAGCGUUGUUCGGAAUUACUGGGCGUAAAGGGUGUGUAGGCGGUUCUCUAAGUUUGGUGUGAAAUCUCCCGGCUCAACCGGGAGGGUGCGCCGAAAACUGGAGGGCUAGAGUGCGGGAAGGGAGAGUAGAAUUCCUGGUGUAGCGGUGAAAUGCGUAGAUAUCAGGAGGAAUACCGGUGGUGCAGACGGCUCUCUGGACCGCGACUGACGCUGAGACACGAAAGCGUGGGUAGCAAACAGG